UACGGAAGGCAGCAGUGGGGAAGUAUUGCACAAUGGGCGAAAGACCUGAUGCAGCUAUGCCGCGUGUAUGAAGAAGGCCUUAGGGUUGUAAAGUACUUUCAUCGGGGAGGAAAAACAAAACUAAUAAUUUUAUUUCUUGACGUUACCCGAAAAAGAAGCACCGGCUAACUCCGUGCCAGCAGCCGCGGUAAUACGGAGGGUGCUAGCGUUAAUCAGAAUUACUGGGCGUAAAGAGCACGUAGGUGGUUUUUUUAAGUCAGAUGUGAAAAUCCCUGGGCUUUAACCUAGGAACUGCAUUUUUGAAACUGAAAUACUAGAGUAUCGUAGAGGGAGGUAGAAUUCUAGGUGUAGCGGUGAAAUGCGUAGAUAUCUGGAGGAAUACCUGUGGCGAAAAGCGGCCUCCUAAACGAAUACUGACACUGAGGGUGCGAAAGCGUGGGGAGCAAAACAGGGAUUAGAUACC
rnacentral:rRNA from 1 species